AUGUUGUUAACUAGGUAGACCAAGGGUACAGUUGAUCACGCCUUGUGUUAUGGCUUGUAUAUUGUUUUAUCAAUAGACCUGUCUGGUGAGACCAUACUCAAUUUGUCUUUCCCUGCCCACCGUGUCAAAACCGGAGUGCAGUACAGUCGCUGUCCGCGGUGCUGAAACCCAUUUAGACGUUCGACGUUCUAGGCAAACAGUGUGCCUACCCUCUGGUUGAUUUGAAGCAUAGGAGAGCAUUUGUGAAUCUAAAAGAACGUAUAGACAACUUUCAACCUUCUGGUUACAGCUUUUAUAAUGUUUUUAGAGAACAAAAGAAAAAGCUUUAAGCAACGUACAGUAUAAGAUACAUUUUUGAGCAACCACUAAAUGCACUUGGAUAUGCUGGCCUGUGAGUGUCAAGACGCAAAUCAUUGUAGCGUGAGGAGGUUUUUGUACGGGCUCUGAAUGACUUUGUACCAAUGUGGUAUACUUUUGGUAGCGGCACGAAACUUGAAGUUGGAAGCAACACCAGUCCCAAAGUGACAGUCCUGCCCCCCUCCAGCAUAGAGCUCUCCAGCAAUAGUUCUGCCACACUGGUGUGUCUGGCCAACGGAGGCUUCCCCUCAGAUUGGACUCUCAGCUGGAAGGUGGAUGGGAUCAGCAGGACUGGUAUGUCCAGUCGCUGGGCUCCUGAGAAGGAUGGUCUGUACAGCUGGAGCAGCACCCUGACCCUCCCUUCCCAGGAGUGGACCAAGGGGGUCUCAGUGACCUGUGAGGCCAACCAGGGCUCCCAGUCUCCAGUCACCAAGGUUAUCAAGGGAGGCGAAUGCUCCGAGUAGCAUGAUUCCAGUCUCUGCAGUCUGUGUCUGAUCUGAGUGUCUUAUUUUGAUAUUGCUUACAGUAGGGAAGAGUAAUUGUUGUCAUAUAGCCACAGGCUUUUACUACUGUUUUUUUUUUACUGUUCCUGCCUAAUGUAACCCAUUCAUAUUCUUGAGUUACUAUUGCAGAAUAUAAUGUGAAAAAAUAAACGCUUUUUGCUGAACCAUA